GAUGAAGAACGUAGCGAAAUGCGAUAAGUAAUGUGAAUUGCAGAAUUCAGUGAAUCAUCGAAUCUUUGAACGCACCUUGCACCCUUUGGCAUUCCGAAGGGUAUGCUCGUUUGAGUGUCAUUGUACUCUCACUCUCCCGAUCCUUGGAUCGGGAGUGGUGGACUUGGGUGUUGCUGCUUUACCGUGGCUCACCUCAAAUGGAUUCGUGCAACUCCUGGUUGGACAUAGUACGGCGUGAUAAGUGUCUUCGCCGGCACCUCACUAGAGGGUGGCUGACCGGGAGCUCUGUGCUUCAAACCGUCUUCGGACAACAACUGACAACUUGACCUCAAAUCGAGUAGGACCACCCGCUGAACUUAAGCAUAUCAAUAAGCGGAGGA
rnacentral:misc_RNA from 1 species